rnacentral:rRNA from 1 species
UUCCUACGGGGGGCAGCAGUGGGGAAUAUUGGGCAAUGGGCGCAAGCCUGACCCAGCAACGCCGCGUGAAGGAAGAAGGCUUUCGGGUCGUAAACUUCUUUUCUGAGGGACGAAGAAAGUGACGGUACCUCAGGAAUAAGCCACGGCUAACUACGUGCCAGCAGCCGCGGUAAUACGUAGGGGGCAAGCGUUAUCCGGAUUUACUGGGUGUAAAGGAGCGUAGACGGCGCGGCAAGUCUGAAGUGAAAGGCAGGGGCUUAACCCCUGAACUGCUUUGGAAACUGCCAUGCUAGAGUGCUGGAGAG